rnacentral:rRNA from 1 species
CAGUCGCCGCGGGAAUACGAAGGGGGCUAGCGUUGUUCGGAUUUACUGGGCGUAAAGGGCGCGUAGGCGGGCGAUUAAGUCAGAGGUGAAAUCCCAAGGCUCAACCUUGGAACUGCCUUUGAUACUGGUUGUCUUGAGUCCGGGAGAGGUGAGUGGAACUGCGAGUGUAGAGGUGAAAUUCGUAGAUAUUCGCAAGAACACCAGUGGCGAAGGCGGCUCACUGGCCCGGAACUGACGCUGAGGCGCGAAAGCGUGGGGAGCAAACAGGAUUAGAUACCCGGGUAGUCCCUGUCUCUUAUAA